GAUGAAGAACGUAGCGAAAUGCGAUAAGUAAUGUGAAUUGCAGAAUUCAGUGAAUCAUCGAAUCUUUGAACACACAUUGCGCCCUUUGGCAUUCCGAAGGGCACACCUGUCCGAGCGCCGUCGCACAACUGAGGCGCAGCCUUGCGUUGGCGGGCGACUUGUGAGUAGCGAGUCGCCGCCCAAACGAGACGGCGCCGCGCCGCGGCCGACGAAGCACGAAAGCGGAAGUCGACGCGGAGGCGGUUGCCUGUAGGAAGACACAGCUUGGCCUCGGAUCAGGUGGGGAUACCCGCUGAACUUAAGCAUAUCAAUAAGCGGAGGA
rnacentral:misc_RNA from 1 species